UGUGUGUGUGUGUGUCUGUGUGAGUGAGUGUGUCAGUGAGUGUGUGUGAGUGUGUCUGUGUGAGUGUGUGUGUGUCUGUGAGUGUGUGUAUGUGAAUGUGUGUGUGUGUCAGUGUGUGUCUGUGUGUGUCAGUGAGUGUGUGUCUGUGAAUGUAUGUGUGUGUGUGUCAGUGAGUGUAUGGGUGUGUCUGUGUGAGUGUGUGUCUGUGAAUGUGUGUGUCUGUGAGUGUAUGUGUGUGUGUGUCUGAAUGUGUCUGUGAGUGUAUGUGUGUGUGUGUCUGAAUGUGUCUGUGAGUGUGUGUGUGUAUGCAU